AGGCAAGAAGUCGGCAUAGCUGUUUGAUGUUGGUAUACGGCUGUGUCACUUCGAGCCAGC
rnacentral:pre_miRNA from 1 species